GGCUUAAUUUUGUUUAUGCCUUCUACAAGGAUGGCCUCAUACCCUACCUGCUUCCCCUCCUCACCUCCACCUCGUUGUGGUUCCUUGCUGAGAAAAAGAAUGACCGUGUACAGUUCCCGUUGGUCGCCUUGCUGCCUUGGGCGCGAGCUCAUCCACCAAGGGUGCUGGCAGCCGCCCAAGUGGAGCGUUGACAUCAGUAUAAGUAGAAUCGUGGGUUGCGGCCACCAUCUUCACCAAGCACUGCACAUCCGUCCAAGUCGAACCCACACACAGGGAGAACACACUAGCCCCUUUGCUUUGCACAUUGCUUGGUUAUGCAUGACUGCUGAUGGAUGCAGCAAGCGUUUAUAUUAGUUUGGUCUUGUGCAAGACUCAAUUUUGUCUCGGUUUUCAUGGAUGCUAGCUGGCAAUACGUCCAACAUUCUUGCGGCGAUAGCGGCCACCACUAAGGGCAUUUGCGUCCAGCACUCGAGCUACAUGCUCGACGGUCGCACACUGCCGCCAUGGGCAUGCACAAAGUUAUUAAGUAGAAGUUUGUUAGUUCAGUUUUUUAUUGAUUUACCUUGUUUAAGUAGUAGUGCAGCAAUAAAAGGUGUAGUUGUGCUAAAGUUUUAGUUGCUAUAUGAGGAACCCAGAGGCCAUUUAUUUUGGUUUUUAGUUCAGCUUGUCUGUUCUUUUCGGUCUGGAUACUUUAUUGCGCAUAAUCUUGAGGAAAUCCCCAAAAAUCAUAUGUCUCAUGUGAAUCUUGUUUAGUUCAUCAGUUCGUCGGAAAAAUAUAUCAUCUACAAAAAGAAUUGCAAUCUCGCAAUGUGAAGUAUGUUGUAGUCUAUACCUGUAGAGUGCAUUUUUGUAGUGCUGGUAUUUCUGGUGACUCUUUUGUGUUAGAAACAAUGGAUAUAUAUUUAUAUUUUGUAGUGUCGGUACUUGAGAACAAAAGGUUCAGUUUUCAAACUUUAAACAGUUCAUCGCAAGCUUUCGGUGUAGCAAGACGUGCGCCAAUGUGUGUGUGCACUUGAUGCAACUCUAUUGCAGUAUAUGAAGUUCAUGCAAUUUUCAUGCAUCAACAAAUCUGAUAGAGAGCACCAUUAUUUUCUGAAUUUUGUAUUUAAGAAAUAUCACCCUUUCUAUAUUUUGAACACUAGCUAGUGCUUUCCUUUCUUGUUAUAGUCAAAAAGUAGUACAUGUAUGUAGUUAUGGUGAUAGUGAUACUAACCAGACCAAGCUACUUCAAUUGUUUUACUAAGUUCUAGAAAUUCUCCAUAUACGGCAAGAGCCAACCAGACGUCUUUGUCUAGCCUGACUUGGGACGACUUCUUUGCAACUGCGGGUUAGAAAGUUCCACAUGUGAUUGGAAUUCAGUGCGAAAAACUGCUGGUGCGAGAAAUAUCUCUUGUGCACUAGUGGUUGGCUUUUCCCAGGAGUAAAUGUAGUCGGAUUCAGCAGCUAGCUCUUCCUCGAGCAACCAUUUGGAGAACUUUAUUGUCUUCUAGUGGUGGUGAUGUGGUGGUGAUUGAUUUUAGGAUCAGUAAAUUUGAUGUUGGUAGCUAGCUUGCGUAUGGAACCUGCAAGUUCAAUAUUGGUAUUAGAUUCAUUUUUUGUUGUAUAAUUGUCCCAGUGUUCACAUUUAUUUGGGUAAAAGUUUAUUUUAGUUCAGCUACAGAAA